rnacentral:rRNA from 1 species
GCGGCGGGCGGCAGCUAUACAUGCAGUCGAGCGGACCGACGGGAGCUUGCUCCCUUAGGUCAGCGGCGGACGGGUGAGUAACACGUGGGUAACCUGCCUGUAAGACUGGGAUAACUCCGGGAAACCGGGGCUAAUACCGGAUGCUUGAUUGAACCGCAUGGUUCAAUUAUAAAAGGUGGCUUUCAGCUACCACUUACAGAUGGACCCGCGGCGCAUUAGCUAGUUGGUGAGGUAACGGCUCACCAAGGCGACGAUGCGUAGCCGACCUGAGAGGGUGAUCGGCCACACUGGGACUGAGACACGGCCCAGACUCCUACGGGAGGCAGCAGUAGGGAAUCUUCCGCAAUGGACGAAAGUCUGACGGAGCAACGCCGCGUGAGUGAUGAAGGUUUUCGGAUCGUAAAACUCUGUUGUUAGGGAAGAACAAGUACCGUUCGAAUAGGGCGGUACCUUGACGGUACCUAACCAGAAAGCCACGGCUAACUACGUGCCAGCAGCCGCGGUAAUACGUAGGUGGCAAGCGUUGUCCGGAAUUAUUGGGCGUAAAGCGCGCGCAGGCGGUUUCUUAAGUCUGAUGUGAAAGCCCCCGGCUCAACCGGGGAGGGUCAUUGGAAACUGGGGAACUUGAGUGCAGAAGAGGAGAGUGGAAUUCCACGUGUAGCGGUGAAAUGCGUAGAGAUGUGGAGGAACACCAGUGGCGAAGGCGACUCUCUGGUCUGUAACUGACGCUGAGGCGCGAAAGCGUGGGGAGCGAACAGGAUUAGAUACCCUGGUAGUCCACGCCGUAAACGAUGAGUGCUAAGUGUUAGAGGGUUUCCGCCCUUUAGUGCUGCAGCAAACGCAUUAAGCACUCCGCCUGGGGAGUACGGUCGCAAGACUGAAACUCAAAGGAAUUGACGGGGCCCGCACAAGCGGUGGAGCAUGUGGUUUAAUUCGAAGCAACGCGAGAACCUUACCAGUCGUGACAAUCUCUGACACCUAGAGAUAGGGCUUCCUCUUCGGGGCAGGUGACAGUGUUGCAUGCUGUCGUCAGCUCUGUCAUGAAAUGGUGGUAGUUCCAGCAACUGCGCACCCUGGAUCUAGUUGCAAGCAAUCAGUUGGGCACUCUGAGAUGAACUGCCGUUG